UAAUAUAUAUGUAUAAUCAAUUCCACAAUGUAUAACAUAACAAGUAUAAUCAAUUAUCCAGUUUAGGCUUCCAGACUUAUGACCCUGUGAGAGACUGCAUACAGCUCAGCUCUAGUGGCCUACAAAUACUCCAAGUCUCAUGUUUUAUCAUCCAGUCAUCACACAUUCCUUUAGCAGAAUGGACCACAUUUCCCAGCCUUCCUUUAAAUAAGAUUUAUUUUUAUUUUAUAUGUAUGGAUGUUUUGCCACCUGUAUGCCUGUAUACCACAUGCCUGCAGUGCCAGAAGAUGCCAGAAGAGGACAUCGAAUCCCAGGAAAUUGGAGUUACAGACAGUUUUAAAUGUAAGCUCUACAAAAUGCACAGUCUUGAAUCUAAGAAGAGCUUUGGCAUUGUCAUGGGAAGGUCUCCAGUUUCCUCAGCACUCAACUCUGGCAGUUGCCUCAGUCCUCAUGCUCCAGUAAAUGAAGAAUUCAGACAGAAAACAGCAAUUGAUCAAGUAGUCAAUAUUUGUUAGAGCAAAUUAGAAUGCACUCAGGAGGAGUGGGUUGCUGGGUAUUGCCAGCAGCCUCGAGCCUGGAAGGCACAGGGCUAUGUCUCUCUUGUCCCUCUGUCCCUUCCCUGUGCUACCUUCAGGGUGAACCAUUCUCAGUGAAGGGAUGCAGUUUUCCCAGAAGCCCGUUUUGCCCAGGGAUUAGUAAGUUAUAAAUAGAUAAAUAAGAUUGAAGAAUAUGCAUCAGGGUCAAAUUACCCACCAAAUUAAAAAGUUUACUAGGAGAAAGGUAACAACACUCUCAUAAUGUUCCCUAAGAAAGGACAUUUUGAAGCCAUUUUGAUCCAGCCUAGCUAGCAUCCACCACUAUCACCCAUUUUUCUUUCCAUCUUGUUUUGGGGGUUGCUGGGUAGCCUGUCUGGAGUUGACCACUGCCACUGUCUUUAUAUCCUGACCACCAGAUGACCACCACCAUUAUCAAUAUCAAUGUGAACCUAAGUGUCUUUAAUUCUUCCACUCAAUUUCAGGAAAAUGCCUAGAGAAAUUCUCCAGUUUACAAGAGGAGGCAAAUUAAAUGUGAUCUAAAACUCA